CAUUUCUUAGUCCAAUAUGGCGCUCCAGAGCUGUCACGUCAUGACAACAUUUGCUUCAUAUAAAAGUUGUGCAAUCCGUACUUGAAAUAGUAGUUCACAGACUAGUAAUUUGCAUGAAGAAACAGCGUGGAGUUCUCGAAAUUGGAUUUAAAUGUCUAAUUAAAACGUAAAUGUUUGACGAAAAUUUAUAUGUAUGUGUGGCGUGCGUGAAUGAAAUAUUGAUGUAGUGAUGUGUCAAUGACCAUAAAUCGUCUGUGUCAUUUAAGCCCACGUAGGCACGAGAAGCGUCGAUCUGCCAACACUCCCAUCAUCGAUACGAAUGGUGUUAUGGUAGAGAUGAUAAAGACAGUAAGAUUACGCGAGGAGAACGACGUCGUAUUAUCGCAUCUCGCACCAGGUCGGUGCCAAACAGUCGCAAAGUCCUCCCUUGGGCCUGGAAUCGGCUUGCCUUGACGCGACUUGACGACUUUCGGACCGUCCCGCUGCUCGUGCAUCGAUAACGACGAUUGGCGAUGAUAGCGGUAAGUCGUGAUGGGCAAGAACGUGUCUGAGACGUACAAGAACGAGAAGAGAGAGUAUAUAUAUAUAUAAAUGGGCGUUAACAUUCAGUGAAUCAACAGCCGAGAUGAUGGCAGAACAAAUACAUAAAAAUAGUCAUGUACCACUGAUCGAGAGCCACUGUACGAUGCGCACAUAUUCAGGCAUACACAGGCAGAGACAUAGUACACGACGAUGAAUGAAGUAUCGGAGAGAAUUUUAAGCAGCGACACGAUGAAGAUGACGAACGUGCAAUUAAUCUCGAUGGACGUAAGAAGGAAGAGGCUUAGACAGAUUAUAUUCGCGCACGGCGUUUAAUUCGGCUCCUAAUUCAGCAUGCGUGAGCGUGCGUAAAUAAUGAUGAACAAAUA